GACUAUAAGUCUCCUGAAGGAACGUUAAAGACGAUGACGUUGAUAGGCCGGGUGUGUAAGCGCAGCGAUGCGUUGAGCUAACCGGUACUAAUGAACCGUGAGGCUUAACCUU
rnacentral:rRNA from 1 species